AACGAACGCUGGCGGCAGGCCUAACACAUGCAAGUCGAACGAGAAGCUUUUCUUCGGAAAAGUGGAAAGUGGCAGACGGGUGAGUAACGCGUGGGAAACUACCUAGUGGUACGGAAUAACGCAGGGAAACUUGUGCUAAUACCGUAUACGCCCUUCGGGGGAAAGAUUUAUCGCCAUUAGAUGUGCCCGCGUCAGAUUAGCUAGUUGGUAAGGUAAUGGCUUACCAAGGCUCCGAUCUGUAGCUGGUCUGAGAGGAUGAUCAGCCACACUGGGACUGAGACACGGCCCAGACUCCUACGGGAGGCAGCAGUGGGGAAUAUUGGACAAUGGGCGCAAGCCCGAUCCAGCCAUGCCGCGUGAGUGAAGAAGGCCCUAGGGUUGUAAAACUCUUUCGCCAGGGAAGAUAAUGACGGUACCUGGUAAAGAAGCCCCCGGCAACUCCGUGCCAGCAGCCGCGGUAA
rnacentral:rRNA from 1 species